GUAGAGCACUGUUUGGACGAGGGGCCCCUCUCGGGUUACCGAAUUCAGACAAACUCCGAAUGCCAAAUAAUUUAACUUGGGAGUCAGAAUGUGGGUGAUAAGGUCCAUAUUCGAAAGGGAAACAGCCCAGACCACCAGCUAAGGUCCCAAAAUAUAUGUUAAGUGGAAAAGGAUGUGGCGUUGCCCAGACAACUAGGAUGUUGGCUUAGAAGCAGCCAUCAUUUAAAGAGUGCGUAAUAGCUCACUAGUCGAGUGACACUGCGCCGAAAAUGUACCGGGGCUAAACAUAUUACCGAAGCUGUGGAUUGUCCUUUGGACAAUGGUAGGAGAGCGUUCUAAGGGCGUUGAAGCAUGAUCGCAAGGACAUGUGGAGCGCUUAGAAGUGAGAAUGCCGGUGUGAGUAGCGAAAGACGGGUGAGAAUCCCGUCCACCGAUUGACUAAGGUUUCCAGAGGAAGGCUCGUCCGCUCUGGGUUAGUCGGGUCCUAAGCUGAGGCCGACAGGCGUAGGCGAUGGAUAACAGGUUGAUAUUCCUGUACCACCAUUAUUCGUUUUAAGCGAUGGGGGGACGCAGUAGGAUAGGCGAAGCGUGCUGUUGGAGUGCACGUCCAAGCAGUGAGAUUGAGUGUUAGGCAAAUCCGGCACUCUUAAGAUUGAGCUGUGAUGGGGAGAGGAACUUGUUCCUCGAGUCGUUGAUUUCACACUGCCGAGAAAAGCCUCUAGCUAGAAUAACGGUGCCCGUACCGCAAACCGACACAGGUAGUCAAGAUGAGAAUUCUAAGGUGAGCGAGCGAACUCUCGUUAAGGAACUCGGCAAAAUGACCCCGUAACUUCGGGAGAAGGGGUGCUCUUUGAGGUUCACGCUUCGAAGAGCCGCAGUGAAUAGGCCCAAGCGACUGUUUAUCAAAAACACAGGUCUCUGCUAAACCGUAAGGUGACGUAUAGGGGCUGACGCCUGCCCGGUGCUGGAAGGUUAAGAGGAGUGGUUAGCGCAAGCGAAGCUACGAAUCGAAGCCCCAGUAAACGGCGGCCGUAACUAUAACGGUCCUAAGGUAGCGAAAUUCCUUGUCGGGUAAGUUCCGACCCGCACGAAAGGCGUAACGAUUUGGGCACUGUCUCAACGAGAGACUCGGUGAAAUCAUAGUACCGGUGAAGAUGCCGGUUACCCGCGACAGGACGGAAAGACCCCGUGGAGCUUUACUGUAGCCUGAUAUUGAAAUUCGGUACAGUUUGUACAGGAUAGGUAGGAGCCUUAGAAGCGUGAGCGCUAGCUUACGUGGAGGCAUUGGUGGGAUACUACCCUAAUUGUAUUGGAUUUCUAACCCGCAGCACUUAUCGUGCUGGGAGACAGUGUCAGGCGGGCAGUUUGACUGGGGCGGUCGCCUCCUAAAGAGUAACGGAGGCGCUCAAAGGUUCCCUCAGAAUGGUUGGAAAUCAUUCAUAGAGUGUAAAGGCAUAAGGGAGCUUGACUGCGAGACCUACAAGUCGAGCAGGGUCGAAAGACGGACUUAGUGAUCCGGUGGUUCCGCAUGGAAGGGCCAUCGCUCAACGGAUAAAAGCUACCCCGGGGAUAACAGGCUUAUCUCCCCCAAGAGUUCACAUCGACGGGGAGGUUUGGCACCUCGAUGUCGGCUCAUCGCAUCCUGGGGCUGUAGUCGGUCCCAAGGGUUGGGCUGUUCGCCCAUUAAAGCGGUACGCGAGCUGGGUUCAGAACGUCGUGAGACAGUUCGGUCCCUAUCCGUCG
rnacentral:rRNA from 1 species